CCAAAUACUCACCUUUCUUAGCUUUUUCUGGAUACAAAAAAGGCUCACACAACAUCUACCGCACAAGGAAGAAAUAAAAAGGGAAAAGAGGAGGAAAGAAGGGGGGAGAGGGGGAAUAAGGGAGAGAACAUAGAGAAAGAGCGAGGAGAGAAAGAAAUAGGUAAAAAGACAUCUAGAUGGGCUUGGGACUUGGUCAAGAUUCAAGAUAAAAAACAAACGACUUCAAGAAAAGAUGAACG
rnacentral:lncRNA from 1 species